AGAAUCAACGCUGGCGGCGUGCCUAACACAUGCAAGUCGAACGCGAAAGGGGCGCAAGCCCUGAGUAGAGUGGCAAACGGGUGAGUAACACGUGGGUGACCUGCCUUCGAGUGGGGGAUAACGUUCCGAAAGGAACGCUAAUACCGCAUGACAUCCUGCGUUUAGAGACGCGGACAUCAAAGCUGGGGAUCGCAAGACCUGGCGCUCGGAGAGGGGCCCGCGGCUGAUUAGCUAGUUGGUGGGGUAAUGGCUCACCAAGGCGACGAUCAGUA
rnacentral:rRNA from 1 species